rnacentral:rRNA from 1 species
CCCUUAGAUGUUCUGGGCUGCACGCGUGCUACACUGAUUAUUUCAACAAGUGUUUUAACUGGAGAGUUCGCGUAAUCCUGAAAUGUUAUCGUGAUGGGAGUAGAGUAUUGUAUUUGUUAAUCUUUAACGAGGAAUUCCUAGUAAGUGUAGGUUUAUAAGUUGUUCUGAUUACGUCCCUGCCCUUUGUACACACCGCCCGUCGCUCCUACCGAUUGAUUGAUCCGGUGAAUUACAUAGAAUUUUGCGUUUUACAUGACGGAAGACGAAGUGUUUUAAACCUUCUCAUUUAGAGGAAGGAGAAGUCGUAACA